UACGGGGGGGGCAAGCGUUGUUCGGAAUUACUGGGCGUAAAGGGUUCGUAGGUGGCCAACUAAGUCAGACGUGAAAUCCCUCAGCUUAACUGGGGAACUGCGUCUGAGACUGGAUGGCUUGAGUGCAGGAGAGGAACGCGGAAUUCCAGGUGUAGCGGUGAAAUGCGUAGAUAUCUGGAGGAACACCGGUGGCGAAGGCGGGUCUCUGGGCAGUAACUGACGCUGAGGAGCGAAAGCGUGGGGAGCGAACAGG
rnacentral:rRNA from 1 species